CAAUAGCGUAUAUUAAAGUUGUUGCAGUUAAAAAGCUCGUAGUUGGAUUUCUGACAGGAGCGACCGGUCUCGAGCUUCAUGUUCGUUGCACUUGUGUCCGUCUCUAGUCAUCCUUAUGGAGAACGUGUGUGUCAUUAAGUUGACGUGCAUGGGAACCAUAUCGUUUACUGUGAAAAAAUUAGAGUGUUUAAAGCAGGCAAUCGCUGUGAAUACAUUAGCAUGGAAUAAUAAGAUAGGACUUUGGUACUAUUUUGUUGGUUUGCAUACCAAGGUAAUGAUUAAGAGGGACAGUUGGGGGUAUUCGUAUUUACAUGUCAGAGGUGAAAUUCUUGGAUUUUGGAAAGACGAUCUACUGCGAAAGCAUUUACCAAGGAUGUUUUCAUUAA
rnacentral:rRNA from 1 species